rnacentral:rRNA from 1 species
CAGUCGCCGCGGUAAUACGUAGGUGGCAAGCGUUGUCCGGAAUUAUUGGGCGUAAAGCGCGCGCAGGCGGUUUCUUAAGUCUGAUGUGAAAGCCCCCGGCUUAACCGGGGAGGGUCAUUGGAAACUGGGAGACUUAGAGUGCAGAAGGGGAGAGUGGAAUUCCAUGUGUAGCGGUGAAAUGCGUAGAUAUAUGGAGGAACACCAGUGGCGAAGGCGACUCUCUGGUCUGUAACUGGCGCUGAGGCGCGAGAGCGUAGGGAGCAAACAGGAUUAGAUACCCCAGUAGUCCCUGUCUCUUAUU